UACGUAGGGGGCGAGCGUUGUCCGGAUUUAUUGGGCGUAAAGAGCGUGUAGGCGGCCAGGUAGGUCUGCUGUGAAAACUCGAGGCUCAACCUCGAGACGUCGGCGGAAACCAUCUGGCUAGAGUCCGGAAGAGGAGAGUGGAAUUCCUGGUGUAGCGGUGAAAUGCGCAGAUAUCAGGAAGAACACCCGUGGCGGAAGGCGGCUCUCUGGGACGGUACUGACGCUGAGGAACGAAAGCAUGGGGAGCGAACAGG
rnacentral:rRNA from 1 species